AAAGUUGUCUUUAAGGUCAUUACUGAUUUGACAUUAUCAGAGUUUGGAAGAGCUUUCGCUAAGACGUUGACAAGUUUGCUAAAAAGUUGAAGGAAAAAUUAACAAAACAUUGCAGUCUUAACAUGAAGUUGGCAAUUACUCUUUCUACAUUAACUCUUGCAUUUGUUUGUGGAACAACAUUUGUGGAGAGUAUUCACCCAUUUUGGUUACCAACGACAAAACCAAUGCCCACUUUACCUCCAAUUAGUGACAAGGAGUUUUAUGACAAAUUCAAACAAAUUCCUCCAAUAACUGUGACAGCAGAUAAAAUUGUAAAGAAAUUCUUUCGUCUGCCAUCUUCUGUCCUGAAUAAACGAA